rnacentral:rRNA from 1 species
AGAGUUUGAUCCUGGCUCAGGAUAAACGCUAGCGGCGUGCCUUAGGCAUGCAAAUGGAACGCCCCGCAACUGCGGGGAGUCGUGGACGGGUGAGUAAUGCACAGGAAGCUACCUUUUGGUGGGGAAUAGCCCCGAGAAAUCGGGAGUAAUACCGCAUAACCUCGUGCUUUGCACGGAGUGAAUCAAGAUACCGAGUUAAUCGAGUUAACCGAGGAGAGAGAUUUCUUGGUCAACUAGGUCAGCUGGGUCAACUAGAUUCCCUGCGUGUAGAGCGCGAGAAAAGGCCGUAACUGGUCACCGAAAGAGGCGCCUGUGUCCUAUCAGCUUGUUGGUGGGGUAAUGGCCUACCAAGGCGAUGACGGGUAGCUGGACUGAGAGGUCGGUCAGCCACAAUGGCACUGAGAUACGGGCCAUACACCUACGGGUGGCAGCAACCGGGAAUCUUGCGCAAUGGGCGAAAGCCUGACGCAGCGACGCCGCGUGAAGGAUGAAGGCCUUCGGGUUGUAAACUUCUUUUAUUUCAACAAAUGAUUGAUUUGAAUAAGCACCUGCAAACUACGUGCCAGCAGCCGCGGUAAAACGUAGGGUGCAAGCGUUAUCCGGAUUUAUUGGGCGUAAAGAGUAUCGUAGGCGGUGGAAUAAGUAGUCAGUUAAAGCCUUCGGCUUAACCGAAGAACUGCUGGCUAAACUAUUUUACUAGAGAACGCUAGGGGGUACCGGAAUUCCUGGUGGAGGAGUGAAAUCCAUUGAUACCAGGAAGAACACCAAGGGCGAAGGCAGGUACCUGGGACGUUUCUGACGCUGAUGAACGAAAGCUAGGGGAGCGAAAGGGAUUAGAGACCCCUGUAGUCCUAGCCGUAAACGAUCCCCGCUAGCUGGUCCCGCAACUGCGGGACUGGCGCAAGCUAACGCGUUAAGCGGGGCGCCUGGGGAGUACGGCCGCAAGGCUAAAACUCAAAGGAAUUGACGGGGACCGGCACAACCAGGGGAGUAUGUGGUUCAAUUCGAUACGAAGCGAAGAACCUUACCUGGGCUUGACAUCUUGCCUAUGCAAGGUCCGAAAGGGCCAAGCUUAGUGGCAAGACAGCUGCUGCAUGGCUGUCGUCAGCUCGUACCGUGGGGCGUUCCCUUAAGUGGGAUAACGAGCGCAACCCCCACCCUAUGUUGCAUAUCAUAGGGGACUGCUUUGCAAUUUGCAGGGAGGAAGGAGGGGAUGACGUCAAGUCAGCAUGGCGCUUAUGCCCAGGGCAACACACAUUCUACAAUGGCGAAUAACAAUGGGUUGCUAAGUCGUAAGGCGGAGCUAAUCCCUGAAAUUUCGCCUCAGUUCAGAUUGCGGGCUGAAAUUCGCCCGCAUGAAGUUGGACUUGGUAGUAAUCGCGGGUCAGCAUACCGCGGUGAAUACGUUCUCCGGUCUUGUACACACGUCAAAA